rnacentral:rRNA from 1 species
UACGGGGGGAGCAAGCGUUGUUCGGAUUUACUGGGCGUAAAGGGCGCGUAGGCGGUCAGCACAAGUCAGUUGUGAAAUCUCCGGGCUUAACCCGGAAAGGUCAACUGAUACUGUGCGACUAGAGUGCGGAAGGGGCAACUGGAAUUCUCGGUGUAGCGGUGAAAUGCGUAGAUAUCGAGAGGAACACCCGUGGCGAAGGCGGCUUUCUGGGACGGUACUGACGCUGAGACGCGAAAGCGUGGGGAGCGAACAGG